rnacentral:tRNA from 1 species
GGGGUAAUAGCUGAGUGGUAGAGCACUUGCCUAGCAUGCAUGAGGCACUGGAUUCAAUUCUUUGCACCA